AGCUCCGCUAGUGUAUACCACGAGUACUGCGGUUAAAAAGCUCGUAGUUGGAUCUUCGGCAAGGGGCGCGGGUGCAUCCGCUGGAUGUUUCUCGCGUCCGUGCCUAAUUUGCCGGUUCUCUGCGUCGUUCCCUUAACCGGGCGCGGCACAGGUCCGGCGCUUUUACCUUGAGAAAAUUGGAGUGCUCAGAACAGGCGAUUGCCUGAACAGUUGUGCAUGGAAUAAUGGAAUAGGAUCUCGGUUCUAUUUUGUUGGUUUUAAGAACUAAGAUAAUGAUUAAGAGGGACAGACGGGGGCAUUCGUAUUGCGACGUUAGAGGUGAAAUUCUUGGAUCGUCGCAAGACGGACAACUGCGAAAGCAUUUGCCAAGAAUGUUUUCA
rnacentral:rRNA from 1 species